rnacentral:lncRNA from 1 species
GGACAGUUGGGAGAUACUCAAAUCAUAGCAAUGCUAGGUUGCGAAGAAUUGAUUUUUGCUGUUUUAUGUUUGCAGAUUUCGGUUCACAACCUUCCUACAGAAGUCAUUGCUCUGCCAGAUUCUCAGCCUGUAACACAGCAGGCCCUCCCUGCACGUCUUCCCUGUCCAAAACCAUUCUGCAGUCUGCAUGUUCACAUCCAUCAAUCUGGACAUCUUAGACUAAGCCACCUCACCAUCCCUCCUGAACUGCUCUUGCUCAUGUGGUUCCUGCUGGUUCCUUUCCUUCUGCUCUGCCUUUGAAUAAUGUCUUCCUCUUUUCUGCUUCAAGUCUCACUUUCUCAAAUAAAUGAGCAACAUUUUCAAGUUUUCUCUAAAAACUUCAAUGAAAGUUAUUUUCAAUUGCUAAUAGACUAGAGAUUUUAUCAGAGAAUGAAGCUGAAUUCAGAUGAAUUCUUUUUUUUGGAUACUUUGUAAUGAACAUGUGGCUGUUGACUUUCUUUCUGUUAAUUUCCCAAACAUUAGACCAACCUUGAUUUCCCACGAGGGAUAAAACCAGUGUGAAGAGAUAUAGAUUGCUUUCUGUGUUUUUGCAGUUGAUUUCCUAGUAUUCUGUGCAGAUCUCUGAGACUAGGUUCAUGAUGCAUUUUGGCUGCUGUUCUCUUCCUUGUGAUGUCUUUGCCUGUCUUGGAAGAAGCAAAGGCAUAAGCAAGAAGAAAGUGGGGCAAAUCUUUAAAGCUCUAAACAAACAAAAGAUUCAAUCCAUAAGCAUAUUUCAAUGAAAAGUGUCCUUUAAGAAUGAAAAGUAAAUAAACAGAUUUCCAGAUAAGCCUAAAAUAAAAGAAUCAGUUACUAAGUGACUAAGUGAAAUUUGUAAAUGAAUUCUUUGAUUUGAAGGCAAAUGAUGCCAAAUCAAACUCAAAUAUUCAGAAAAGCAAAGAGCAGCAGAUGUGCCAUUUAUCUGGCUAAAUGCAAAGGACUAUUUCCUUUUUAUACCCUUUUCCAUUUAUGUAAGAAAUAUAUAUAUAUAUAUAUAUAUAUAUAUAUAUAUAUAUAUAUAUAUAUAUAUAUAUGUUUUUAGUGUAAUAAACUAAAUUGUAACAUUUUUGUGGACAUUGAAACUUGCAUAGGUAUAUUAAAUAUAAAUUAAUAAUAUUAAAAUUGGGUACAGAGGGAAGGUUGAAGACUUGCAAGAUUUCUAUAUUCAUGUGAAUGAAUGCACUGUUAAAUGAACGUAGAAUGAAAUGUUAUGAUGAAUACAUAAUCUUAAGUAAAAUUUGUAUGAAUAUAAUGCAAAACAAUAUUGCUAACAAGAAAAUUAAAACGGGUUUCUA